UUUGGAAUGAGGGAGGUAAGGAGGUGCCAGAGUGUGGUUUUGGGGUUGAACAGAGGUGGCGCCGCCACCGGCGAACAUUGUGGCAGCACUAGAGUUUCUAAAAUUUGAGGAGAUACAGGGGAAUUUGAGGGACAUGGGUUGGGGCUUAGAAACGAGGGGAUGAGGGGAGUUCCUGGUGUGAUUUUGAGUAGGUUUGGCCACCGGCUGUCGCCAUGGGCGAUUUUCAGAAGGCGACAGGCAGUGGCGUUACAUGAGAGACUGAAGGGAUUGUGAGAGACAGG
rnacentral:lncRNA from 1 species